rnacentral:tRNA from 1 species
UCCCUGAUGGUCCAGUGGUGAGACUCUGCAUUCCUGAUGUAGGGGGCGCAGGUUCAAUUCCUGGUUGGGGAA